rnacentral:rRNA from 1 species
AGUGCCCCGCCUGGGGAGUACGGCCGCAAGGCUAAAACUCAAAGGAAUUGACGGGGGCCCGCACAAGCGGCGGAGCAUGCGGAUUAAUUCGAUGCAACGCGAAGAACCUUACCAAGGCUUGACAUGUUCUCGAUCGCCGUAGAGAUACGGUUUCCCCUUUGGGGCGGGUUCACAGGUGGUGCAUGGUUGUCGUCAGCUCGUGUCGUGAGAUGUUGGGUUAAGUCCCGCAACGAGCGCAACCCUCGUUCCAUGUUGCCAGCACUUCGGGUGGGGACUCAUGGGAGACUGCCGGGGUCAACUCGGAGGAAGGUGGGGACGACGUCAAAUCAUCAUGCCCCUUAUGUCUUGGGCUUCACGCAUGCUACAAUGGCCGGUACAAUGGGUUGCGAUACUGUGAGGUGGAGCUAAUCCCAAAAAGCCGGUCUCAGUUCGGAUUGGGGUCUGCAACUCGACCCCAUGAAGUCGGAGUCGCUAGUAAUCGCAGAUCAGCAACGCUGCGGUGAAUACGUUCCCGGGCCUUGUACACACCGCCCGUCAAGUCACGAAAGUCGGUAA